rnacentral:rRNA from 1 species
UGGUGGAGUGAUCUGUCUGGUUAAUUCCGAUAACGAACGAGACCUUAACCUGCUAAAUAGUUCAGUCAACUGUGGUUGAUUAGGACUUCUUAGAGGGACUAUUGAUGUUUAAUCAAUGGAAGUUUGAGGCAAUAACA